AUGCAUCCAUUUGACACCUGCAGCAGCUAUUGUCUGCAGCUAAGGUUUCCACUCUAGACGCCAGAAAAACGUAUCCUGUGUUUUCUGUCUGUCUGGAUUGUUUCAGCCAAGAUUGAAUGAGGAAUGCAGGA
rnacentral:snoRNA from 1 species